AGGUGUUACAGAGCUCAGGGAUCUCAUCAAAGCUGAAACCAAACCCAAGAUCCAAGCAGCCUUUAAGCUCAUCAAGAUCAUCAUCCGUCAAGCUCUUACUCCUCUUCAAAUCAUCCCCAUUAGUAUUAGCUACAUCCACAUACCUUUCUAGCAGCACCUGAUUCUUCUUUUUCUUGCUGUUGCUCCUACUUUUGGAGCUGAAGGUGCUGCUGCUGUUGUUGAUGGUUCCUUGAUUCACUUUCUGCCAUAUUUCAUCAGUUUCUUGGUAGAAAACAUCAUCUUGAUCCAGGUUUUCUAUUUCAUUCUUUUGUUGGUUUAGGUUUGUUGAAGAAACCCAAGAUUCUUGUUCACAAGAAAUGCCCACCAUGUUUUCUUUCUGUAAAGAGGUGCUUGCGAU
rnacentral:misc_RNA from 1 species